rnacentral:rRNA from 1 species
AGUGAACGCUGGCGGUAGGCCUAACACAUGCAAGUCGAACGGCAGCACAGUAAGAGCUUGCUCUUACGGGUGGCGAGUGGCGGACGGGUGAGGAAUACAUCGGAAUCUACUUUUUCGUGGGGGAUAACGUAGGGAAACUUACGCUAAUACCGCAUACGACCUACGGGUGAAAGCAGGGGAUCUUCGGACCUUGCGCGAUUGAAUGAGCCGAUGUCGGAUUAGCUAGUUGGCGGGGUAAAGGCCCACCAAGGCGACGAUCCGUAGCUGGUCUGAGAGGAUGAUCAGCCUCACUGGAACUGAGACACGGUCCAGACUCCUACGGGAGGCAGCAGUGGGGAAUAUUGGACAAUGGGCGCAAGCCUGAUCCAGCCAUACCGCGUGGGUGAAGAAGGCCUUCGGGUUGUAAAGCCCUUUUGUUGGGAAAGAAAAGCAGCAGGUUAAUACCCCGCUGUUCUGACGGUACCCAAAGAAUAAGCACCGGCUAACUUCGCG